UAGGGAAUCUUCCGCAAUGGGCGAAAGCCUGACGGAGCAACGCCGCGCGAGUGAUGAAGGUCUUCGGAUCGUAAAACUCUGUUAUUAGGGAAGAACAAAUGUGUAAGUAACUAUGCACGUCUUGACGGUACCUAAUCAGAAAGCCACGGCUAACUACGUGCCACCAGCCGCGGUAAUACGUAGGUGGCAAGCGUUAUCCGGAAUUAUUGGGCGUAAAGCGCGCGUAGGCGGUUGUUUAAGUCUGAUGUGACAGCCCACGGCUCAACCGUGGAGGGUCAUUGGAAACUGGAAAACUUGAGUGCAGAAAAGGAAAGUGGAAUUCCAGGUGUAGCGGUGAAAUGCGCAGAGAUAUGGAGGAACACCAGUGGCGAAGGCGACUUUCUGGUCUGUAACUGACGCUGAUGUGCGAAAGCGUGGGGAUCAAACAGG
rnacentral:rRNA from 1 species